AGAGCGAACGCUGGCGGCAGGCCUAACACAUGCAAGUCGAGCGCCCGUAGCAAUACGGGAGCGGCAGACGGGAUAGUAACACGUGGGAACGCGCCCUUCGGUUCGGAAUAACUCAGGGAAACUUGAGCUAAUACCGGAUACGCCCUUACGGGGAAAGAUUUAUUGCCGAAGGAACGGCCCGCGUCCGAUUAGCUAGUUGGUGAGGUAAUGGCUCACCAAGGCGACGAUCGGUAGCUGGUCUGAGAGGAUGACCAGCAUCACUGGGACUGAGACACGGCCCAGACUCCUACGGGAGGCAGCAGUGGGGAAUAUUGGACAAUGGGCGCAAGCCUGAUCCAGCCAUGCCGCGUGGAUGAUGAAGGCCUUAGGGUUGUAAAGUCCUUUUAACUGGGAAGAUAAUGACGGUACCCGUAGAACUAAGCCCCGGCUAACUUCGCGCCAGCAGCCGC
rnacentral:rRNA from 1 species